GACGAACGCUGGCGGCGUGCUUAACACAUGCAAGUCGUACGGUAAGGCCCUUUCGGGGGUACACGAGUGGCGAACGGGUGAGUAACACGUGAGUAACCUGCCCACAACUUUGGGAUAACGCUAGGAAACUGGUGCUAAUACUGGAUAUGUUCCCCUGCUGCAUGGUGGGGGUUGGAAAGCUCCGGCGGUUGUGGAUGGACUCGCGGCCUAUCAGCUUGUUGGUGGGGUAGUGGCCUACCAAGGCGGCGACGGGUAGCCGGCCUGAGAGGGUGACCGGCCACAUUGGGACUGAGAUACGGCCCAGACUCCUACGGGAGGCAGCAGUGGGGAAUAUUGCACAAUGGGCGCAAGCCUGAUGCAGCAACGCCGCGUGCGGGAUGACGGCCUUCGGGUUGUAAACCGCUUUCAGCAGGGACGAAGCUUUUUGUGACGGUACCUGCAGAAGAAGCACCGGCUAACUACGUG
rnacentral:rRNA from 1 species